UUUCCGGUUGAUCCCGCCAGAGGUUACUGCUAUCGAGGUUCGACUAAGCCAUGCGAGUCGAAUGUAGCAAUACAUGGCGUACUGCUCAGUAACACGUGGACAACCUGCCCUUAGGACGGGUAUAAACCCGGGAAACUGGGUAUAAUUCCCGAUAGAUCUCGUCUGCUGGAAUGCAUCGAGAUCCAAAGCUCCGGCGCCUAAGGAUGGGUCUGCGGCCUAUCAGGUAGUAGUGGGUGUAGCGUACCUACUAGCCUUCGACGGGUACGGGUUGUGAGAGCAAGAGCCCGGAGAUGGAUUCUGAGACACGAAUCCAGGCCCUACGGGGUGCAGCAGGCGCGAAAACUUUACAAUGCUGGGAACAGCGAUAAGGGAACCUCGAGUGCCAGGUUACAAAUCUGGCUGUCGUGAUGCCUAAAAAGCAUUAUAUAGCAAGGGCCGGGCAAGACCGGUGCCAGCCGCCGCGGUAACACCGGCGGCUCGAGUGGUAACCGUUAUUAUUGGGUCUAAAGGGUCUGUAGCCGGCCGGAUAAGUCUCUUGGGAAAUCUGGCAGCUCAACUGUCAGGCUUUCAGGGGAUACUGUCUGGCUCGAGGCCGGGAGAGGUGAGAGGUACUUCAGGGGUAGGGGUGAAAUCUUGUAAUCCUUGAAGGACCACCAGUGGCGAAGGCGUCUCACCAGAACGGACCUGACGGCAAGGGACGAAAGCUAGGGGCACGAACCGGAUUAGAUACCCGGGUAGUCCUAGCCGUAAACGAUACUCGCUAGGUGUCGGCCACGGUGCGACCGUUGUCGGUGCCGUAGGGAAGCCGUGAAGCGAGCCACCUGGGAAGUACGGCCGCAAGGCUGAAACUAAAAGGAAUUGGCGGGGGAGCACCACAACGGGUGGAGCCUGCGGUUUAAUCGGACCCAACGCCGGGAAUCUCACCGGAUAAGACAGCUGAAAGGAAUUGGCGGGG
rnacentral:rRNA from 1 species